ACCCAGGGCACUGGGAAUAUUUCUCUGUCUGCUCUGGGGUGUCCUGACCCCCAGGGGAGCACUGCCUUUGACACUCAUUCAUGGAGAAAACUUCCAAAGCCUCAAGACAUGCUAUUUUUAUGUUGAGAAGUUUAUCUGUAUUUCAAAGGGAAGGAAUUUCUUUGACCACAUAAAAGAGAAGCAAACAAACUGGCAGAGAAAACACGUGGGUCACUAGGACGAAUGUUGACAUAAGCCUUCAAACAAACUUUGUCCCAGGUCAUUCCCAGCUCAUCCUUGGCCUGCAGUUGUACCAGCACAGCUUGGACAUGGAAAAGAACUGACAGGAAAACUUCUGUGUCAGUCUCCCAGUGCAUUUCACACUUUUAUCUCACUCCCUACUGUCACAACUGAAGAUGAAAAUCUAGCCUGAUGUUAAAGAAAGUUUCCUGUCUGACCACUCUGGCAGUCACACUCCCACCACCCAGACACUCAGUGUUGGGACUGAAGCCCCUUGGCAGUGGGAGAGUUCCAGUGACCCAAUGGGUACCCCACUUGACUCCCCACACAUCUCCCAUUCACACAAGUUUCCCUUGCUGGUUGGAGCCCAGAUUUCCCAUAGCAGAGUCCCAGAUGUCAGCAUCCUUCCCACUAUUUAAUCAUGCUGCAGUAAUAGCUGAACAGAAACCGGUCCCACUGGUACCUCUGAGGAGGGACACAGCAGAAAAGGAACCUCUGUUGCAGCAUUUUUGAGAGAAAGAGGACAUGAAUUGUGAAAGUUGAGCUACUCCAGUCUAGGCCUCAGAUUGAGGCCUGGUGGGGCCUUCAA